UGUAGGGGGAUUUUCAUUCUCGUGGACAAGCUACAAGGAAUUGAGCCAUUAGGUGAUGUUCAUUCCGUUUGAUUGCUGUGCAUAUACACAUUUACAGGUCAAACAUGCGUCAAUAAAUUCAUGAGCAAGAUUAUGCCAUCACAAUCGGCGACUGGCCGAGUUUGAAAACAAGCAUGACACACUUCAUUUUGCGGUAAUAAAAAGCACGUAUUAUACCCAAGAGGCGAAAGUAUAUGUCAAUAGAUUCAUCGGCAAGUGUAAAAUCCUUUUAACGGAAUGUUUGAGUCAAUGGUGGGUGAGGCGUGUGUGGGGGAGAGCGAAUUUGGCUCUGUUUUAAUUAAUUCUUCGGCGAGCCUCUAUAACAAAGGAAACUGGUUUGACAAGAUUUUCUCUGUUCUUCCUUGAGUCUGUAUGUGGGGAGCGAUACGACCUCUGUCCGUGCGGGUUGCAGCCGAGACUUUCUCCGCGGUGAGGUGAGCCGCGGCGCUCGGUGGCGAUCGUUGUCGCUCGGUGUCGCUCGACGGCGCUCGUUCGGAAGCCUUUGACUCUCUGCUUUGCUCGCUUGGCGAUCUCCGCCUUUCCUGCGGGUUGUUCGCUGGUCGUCACUCUGACGAGGAGCGAUGCUUCGUUCGAGGCAGGGUGGACGUUGGCGUCUUUGUUGGCUUCACUCGCAGCUCGGCGACACAGGGUAGCGAUUCUUCUCAGGUGGUGCAGACCUCGGCUUGUAGCUGCGCGUCGCUACUCCGCGAACCUCGUCAUUCUGGAUGACGAAAACUUCUUCGUUGUCGGCGUUGAGAUGAGAUGGGGCCCAUGGCCCGGACGAUCUCUGGUGGGGCCCGUGGCCCGGACGAUCUGUGGUGGAGUCGAAGCCCUGGCGACGAGAUGGGGCUCAGAGCCCUGGCGAUCUGCUCUGUAUGGAUUUUCCUUCGGUUUAUAUCUGGAAAUUCCACUCAGUUUCCCGAGUUGUUCAAAGCCUGUCAUAAAACAUUCCUGUGGGUGUGAACCAUCUGCGUUCGUGUGUGUGUGUGCGUGUCCGUCCGUGUGUUUCGCGUGCGUGUUUGUCCGUGUGUUUAUUAGCUUUGAAGACACAGCUGUGUGUCGUUCUGGAAGAAAGGGGUGGGGGGGGGGGCCUCGUGACGGCGCCACCUAAGUUUAUCCAUUAACCAGACCGAUGAUUCGCGUUCGCAUUGAGUUAUAUAUAAAAAAAGUAUUAGAAUCCAUGUUUUUGUUACUGAAUAAUAUUUGUCGCGAAAACCUACGCGUUAAGCGAGCUUAAUUAUUCCCUCCCUUGCUCGGGGAUCAUAUCUUUUGUCUCACACAGCUUAAGUUGUUUUUGGUUUGGAAGUUGAAAUGCGACUUACUUCCCUUAUGCCCGAGUUAUGCCGAAACCGUGUUCACGAUGUUUCAUCGUGACCCGAUUUCUCCUGGAAAUGUUAUUUCCUCGUGUGUGCAAUUUUUGCUGUCCGUGUUGUGGGGAGACAAAGACGGUUGUUUCCACGGUGGGAGCACCCGGCGCAUGCGCUUAUUUAUUUAUUUCUGAAGACGUGUUAAUUUCCUUUGAGCCAUUGCCCGGGAGUUUUAUUGGCUUUGUUGUGUGAGUGUAGAGAUCCUCUCGGGAAGACAAAGGCGGCCGUGUUGCUCGCUUCCCAUGGGGUGUUGUGUUUGGUUAAUUUUGAGAGCCUUCUCCACCCUUGAUUUCUCUUCUACUUUAAUUCCGUACUUAUUAUUUGACUUCUUGUGAUUAUUUAAUCUGAUAUCCCGGCUAGGAAUUUUGUUUUGGAGCGAAAUAGAUGCCAUAAUUAUUCUUUGAUGCUUCGGCCCGGCCGUGUAGAUAUUCUUUAAAGGUAAAUAAUGUCAGUAUUUAAUUAACAAUGAUGGGUCGCGAUUCUGGUGCAGACUGUAGUCUGGUUUUCAAUUGGAGUGAGGAUGGAUACUGUUUGCUUAAUCUUCAUGGUUAAGUUGGUAACUUUGUGUAUUUAACAUGGUUCAAAGACCCGUCUGUGCUUUUUGUCGUCAAUGCUGUUUCUUUGUUAAGAAUAUAAUUAUCUCUUCCUCCGUGGUGCCUGGUCCUGUGGGGUUUUUUUUUAACAAAAGGAUGUCCUGCUGACCCCCCCCCCCCCCCGCCUGCAAUUCCCCCCUCCCUUGUUCCUCUUGUGUGAAUUUAGGGGAGUUUUAUUACCUUGAUUGCUCUCUUUCAUGCCCUCUUUCCUUUGAAAUGAGGUAUGCGCGCAUCUGUAGAAGUGUGGGGGCGUGUUCGUUCCACGUUGCCCCGUGUCUAUUAAAAAAACGAUUAUAUAUGUUGGCAGAAUAAUUAUUAAAAAAAUUUAUAUUAAUAUUAAAAAAGGGGGUACAUACACAACAACUCUGGGAAAAAUACAAAGAGGGCAUGAGUGAGGACAUCCUCCACAGAGCUCAACAAGAAAAUCCCAACCUCGAGGUGAACUUUUCUGAUGUCAUCUUUAACCAGGCCCUCAUCCUCCUUGAAGACAAACUUCGCUCCAUUGGUGGAAAAGACCUCAACUCUUUCGGACUACCAACACCCUCCAGGGACAACCUGCAUGCCCUUGCCCAAGAGAUCGUACGUGAAAUAUCCUAUGAUGGUUUAGAGCUUCUUAAAUUUAUUGAGGAGAAUGAACCAAAGCUGAUGGAUGCACAAAGAGAAGCCUACAGGAAAAUCUUGGAAGACAUUGAGUCUAAAAAUGGAGGCAUGUUUUUCCUUGAUGCACCUGGCGGUACUGGGAAGACCUUUGUUCUCAACCUGCUUCUGGCUAAGGUUCGCCAGAGGCAGAACAUUGCUCUGGCUGUGGCAUCGUCAGGGAUUGCUUCGACUCUGCUUAUUGGAGGAAGAACUGCCCAUUCCACAUUCAAGCUUCCAUUAGAUCUAUCCCGACAAGAAAACCCUGUUUGCAAUAUUUCAAAGGGGACUGCCCUUGCACAAGUCCUGGUUAAUUGUGAAUUAAUAUUGCGGGAUGAAUGCACCAUGUCCCACAAGGGAGCAUUUGAGGCUGUCAACACAACUUUGCAGGACCUCCGCAACAAUUCCAGGAAUAUGGGUGGUGUAACUUUUCUCAUGGCUGGUGACUUCCGACAAACCUUUACCUGUGGUACUUCGAGGGAUCAAAGCUGAUGAGUUAAAUGCCUGCAUCAAGUCUUCAUUCCUCUGAAGGCACGUAAUGAAACUGAGACUAACUACAAACAUGCGUGUAUAUCUCCAUGGAGACCAAGAGGCGGGAAACUUUGCUGAAGCUCUCCUUGAUAUUGGAAAUGGCAGAAUUCUUGCUGACGGCACAGAUGGACUUAUCACCAUGUCUAAAGGCAGCCUUUCCACUUCGGAAGAGGAACUGGAGGAAAAAGUGUACCCAAACAUGCAACAACACUUUCAAGAUGUUGUCUGGCUAGAGGAGAGGGCCAUUUUGGCUCCAAAAAUGAUUCCGUUCACAGAAUAAAUUCCAUGUUGUUGCAGAAAUUAUCUGGAGAGAGCAAGUCCUACAAAUCUAUUGACACAGUGUUGGACCAUGAUCAAAUUGUUCACUAUCCAGUUGAAUUCUUGAAUUCUCUGCAGCUCCCGGGUGUCCCACCACACAACUUGCUACUAAAAAUUGGGGCACCUGUGUUGCUAUUGAGAAACGUGGACCCACCUAGACUAUGCAAUGGCACAAGGUUAAUUGUUAAAGAAUUACAUUGUAAUGUUAUCAAAGCUACAAUCAUUACAGGCAAUUCUAAAGGUGAGGACGUCUUUAUCCCUCGCAUACCUAUAAUCCCAAAUGACACAGUCUUUGAAUUUAAGAGGCUUUAUUUCCCCAAUCAGCUCAGCUUUGCAAUGUCCAUUAACAAGGCGCAAGGACAAUCUUUAAAAGUGGUGGGACUGAAUUUGGCAACUCAGUGCUUUUCUCAUGGCCAACUUUAUGUUGGAUGCUCUCGUGUAGGCAGUGAAAACUAUUUACAUUACUUUGCACCAGCAGGCAGGACCAGAAAUAUUGUUUACAAAGAAGCUCUUUGAUAGGGGGGUGUUGGUCAGCAAAAAGUGGCAGUUUUACCUGUCGGCGAUUUUGCAGUCAGCGGUUGUUUGCGGCACCGCCCGUGCGCUGUUGUUCUUUCGCCUCGGAUCUUACCUGCCCUACUUCCCUUCUCCCCAUUUCCCCAUUUUUCCUAUUACAAGUUAUAUAGUCUGUGGUUUUUGUAGUGCCUUACUAUAGUACAAAUAAAUACGUGUUUUUCUACCAUUGACCAUCUACUUACGACUCAUUGGAUUCGAUAAAAGACAAAGGCAUGUACAUGUUAUGUAGUAGUACAGAGUUAGCCUGAUAACUUUAAUCUAAAUUGUUGUAUGGUUGUUAUUGUUAGACUUCCAUCCCACUGGAAUUUUUGCGCACAGCGUUGAUAUACUGUGUUUUUUCAGGAAGAUUUUGCAGUUUUUUCCUGGAUGUUUCUGUCGCGCGUCGUCAUUUUAAGAUGUUCUUUGUUCAUGUUUUUGUUUGUUGCGGUUGCACCUGAGUCAAGAGCCGUAUAAAAAGACACUAAAUAAAUGUUAACUACAAUUAAAUACAUGUUUCUGUUUGUCGUCUUGCGUAUGGCACUUUUGGAGAGCUAAAUGUCAAUGUUCAGAUCUGCUGGCAACGAAAGGGCUUCAGGAGAGAGCUUAUGCAAGUCCUGUUAUUCUGACAUUGAAGAGACGGAGACCACACUGGUUUAUUAUGUGGUCCAUCAUUUGGGUUCACAGUUCCAUUUAUUAUUUAGUAUUACAGUUUUUAUUCUCCUAAACACGUAAAAUUCAUACGCAAAUACUUUUUACGUACAUUAAACUUUUUGUAUUUGUGUAUGUAAUAUAUGUA